rnacentral:sRNA from 1 species
CAAAAGUUGCAUAGUUUUAGGAUAGACGAAAGCAAGUCUGUUAUAGAAAAUGUUGAUGAGUUUCAGAUGUACACCGCGGAGACAAUUCAUUUUUUAAAAUUAAUAUAUAUAAAACUUUGUAAAUUAUAUCUAAUUAUAU